rnacentral:rRNA from 1 species
GGUUAAGCGACUAAGCGUACACGGUGGAUGCCCUGGCAGUCAGAGGCGAUGAAGGACGUGCUAAUCUGCGAUAAGCGCCGGUAAGGUGAUAUGAACCGUUAUAACCGGCGAUUUCCGAAUGGGGAAACCCAGUGUGACUCGUCACACUAUCAUUAACUGAAUCCAUAGGUUAAUGAGGCGAACCGGGGGAACUGAAACAUCUAAGUACCCCGAGGAAAAGAAAUCAACCGAGAUUCCCCCAGUAGCGGCGAGCGAACGGGGAGGAGCCCAGAGCCUGAAUCAGCAUGUGUGUUAGUGGAAGCGUCUGGAAAGGCGCGCGAUACAGGGUGACAGCCCCGUACACAAAAGCGCAUGUGCUGUGAGCUCGAUGAGUAGGGCGGGACACGUGGUAUCCUGUCUGAAUAUGGGGGGACCAUCCUCCAAGGCUAAAUACUCCUGACUGACCGAUAGUGAACCAGUACCGUGAGGGAAAGGCGAAAAGAACCCCGGCGAGGGGAGUGAAAAAGAACCUGAAACCGUGUACGUACAAGCAGUGGGAGCCCCACCACUAAGCCAGUGGUGAACUCCACAUACGCAUCCUUUGCUGAGGAUACGGUUAACGGAGCGAAAGCGACGUUCAACCGCAAAAGAAGCAGAGGGGGCUUAGUGGUGGGGUGACUGCGUACCUUUUGUAUAAUGGGUCAGCGACUUAUAUUCUGUAGCAAGGUUAACCGAAUAGGGGAGCCGUAGGGAAACCGAGUCUUAACCGGGCGUUAAGUUGCAGGGUAUAGACCCGAAACCCGGUGAUCUAGCCAUGGGCAGGUUGAAGGUUGGGUAACACUAACUGGAGGACCGAACCGACUAAUGUUGAAAAAUUAGCGGAUGACCUGUGGCUGGGGGUGAAAGGCCAAUCAAACCGGGAGAUAGCUGGUUCUCCCCGAAAGCUAUUUAGGUAGCGCCUCGUGAAUUCAUCUCCGGGGGUAGAGCACUGUUUCGGCUAGGGGGCCAUCCCGGCUUACCAACCCGAUGCAAACUGCGAAUACCGGAGAAUGUUAUCACGGGAGACACACGGCGGGUGCUAACGUCCGUCGUGAAGAGGGAAACAACCCAGACCGCCAGCUAAGGUCCCAAAGUCAUGGUUAAGUGGGAAACGAUGUGGGAAGGCCCAGACAGCCAGGAUGUUGGCUUAGAAGCAGCCAUCAUUUAAAGAAAGCGUAAUAGCUCACUGGUCGAGUCGGCCUGCGCGGAAGAUGUAACGGGGCUAAACCAUGCACCGAAGCUGCGGCAGCGACGCUGAUGCGUUGUUGGGUAGGGGAGCGUUCUGUAAGCCUGCGAAGGUGGCCUGUGAGGGUUGCUGGAGGUAUCAGAAGUGCGAAUGCUGACAUAAGUAACGAUAAAGCGGGUGAAAAGCCCGCUCGCCGGAAGACCAAGGGUUCCUGUCCAACGUUAAUCGGGGCAGGGUGAGUCGACCCCUAAGGCGAGGCCGAAAGGCGUAGUCGAUGGGAAACGGGUUAAUAUUCCCGUACUUGGUGUUACUGCGAAGGGGGGACGGAGAAGGCUAUGUUGGCCGGGCGACGGUUGUCCCGGUUUAAGCGUGUAGGUGUGUGUUCCAGGUAAAUCCGGUUCACUUUAACACUGAGGCGUGAUGACGAGGCACUACGGUGCUGAAGCAACAAAUGCCCUGCUUCCAGGAAAAGCCUCUAAGCAUCAGGUAACAUCAAAUCGUACCCCAAACCGACACAGGUGGUCAGGUAGAGAAUACCAAGGCGCUUGAGAGAACUCGGGUGAAGGAACUAGGCAAAAUGGUGCCGUAACUUCGGGAGAAGGCACGCUGACACGUAGGUGAAGUGAUUUACUCAUGGAGCUGAAGUCAGUCGAAGAUACCAGCUGGCUGCAACUGUUUAUUAAAAACACAGCACUGUGCAAACACGAAAGUGGACGUAUACGGUGUGACGCCUGCCCGGUGCCGGAAGGUUAAUUGAUGGGGUCAGCGCAAGCGAAGCUCCUGAUCGAAGCCCCGGUAAACGGCGGCCGUAACUAUAACGGUCCUAAGGUAGCGAAAUUCCUUGUCGGGUAAGUUCCGACCUGCACGAAUGGCGUAAUGAUGGCCAGGCUGUCUCCACCCGAGACUCAGUGAAAUUGAACUCGCUGUGAAGAUGCAGUGUACCCGCGGCAAGACGGAAAGACCCCGUGAACCUUUACUAUAGCUUGACACUGAACAUUGAGCCUUGAUGUGUAGGAUAGGUGGGAGGCUUUGAAGUGUGGACGCCAGUCUGCAUGGAGCCGACCUUGAAAUACCACCCUUUAAUGUUUGAUGUUCUAACGUGGACCCGUGAUCCGGGUUGCGGACAGUGUCUGGUGGGUAGUUUGACUGGGGCGGUCUCCUCCUAAAGAGUAACGGAGGAGCACGAAGGUUGGCUAAUCCUGGUCGGACAUCAGGAGGUUAGUGCAAUGGCAUAAGCCAGCUUGACUGCGAGCGUGACGGCGCGAGCAGGUGCGAAAGCAGGUCAUAGUGAUCCGGUGGUUCUGAAUGGAAGGGCCAUCGCUCAACGGAUAAAAGGUACUCCGGGGAUAACAGGCUGAUACCGCCCAAGAGUUCAUAUCGACGGCGGUGUUUGGCACCUCGAUGUCGGCUCAUCACAUCCUGGGGCUGAAGUAGGUCCCAAGGGUAUGGCUGUUCGCCAUUUAAAGUGGUACGCGAGCUGGGUUUAGAACGUCGUGAGACAGUUCGGUCCCUAUCUGCCGUGGGCGCUGGAGAACUGAGGGGGGCUGCUCCUAGUACGAGAGGACCGGAGUGGACGCAUCACUGGUGUUCGGGUUGUCAUGCCAAUGGCACUGCCCGGUAGCUAAAUGCGGAAGAGAUAAGUGCUGAAAGCAUCUAAGCACGAAACUUGCCCCGAGAUGAGUUCUCCCUGAGACUUUAGGUCUCCUGAAGGAACGUUGAAGACGACGACGUUGAUAGGCCGGGUGUGUAAGCGCAGCGAUGCGUUGAGCUAACCGGUACUAAUGAACCGUGAGGCUUAACCUU